rnacentral:ncRNA from 2 species
UAAAUUAACUAGGGGCGCAAUUUGCUGAGACGGUGUCGAACCGAACCCUUUGAACCUGUGAGCUAACCCUCGCGUAGGAAAGUUAAUGUGACUUGCU